AUUUAAAACCCAAAGGACUUGGCGGUGCUAUAAUCCAACUAGGGGAACCUGUCCCUUGAUUCGAUAGUCCACGAAAAUCUUACUUACCUUAGAUAAUAUCAGUUUAUAUACCGUCGUCUAGCCGGCCUUACCGAGAGAUAAAAAGCUGGCAGAAAAGGUUUUCUCUAAUAAGACAGAUAAAGGUGUAGCCAAUAGGUAAAGGGAAGGAUGUGUUACAAUUAACAAUUUGAUAAUGGAAUCCUAAUGAAACUUUAGGAGGAAAGAGGACUUAGAAGUAAUUUUCUAGUAACACUAGGAAGUGAAUUAUUAGGCUCUAUAGUGUGU
rnacentral:rRNA from 1 species